rnacentral:snRNA from 1 species
AUUUCCUUCUUCUAACAUCUGAUAAAAUUGGAAUGUACCGGGAAGAUUACCAUGGCCCUGGCGCAAGGAUGACACACACUAAUCUAGAAAUGGUCCAAAUAUUU